rnacentral:rRNA from 1 species
ACACGUCUACAUUAGAUACCCCUGUAGUCCCAGCCGUAAACUAUGCGCGUUAGGUGUAUCGGUGACCACGAGUCACCGGGGUGCCGAAGGGAAACCGUGAAACGUGCCGCCUGGGAAGUACGGUCGCAAGGCUGAAACUUAAAGGAAUUGGCGGGGAGCACCACAACGGGUGGAGCCUGCGGUUUAAUUGGACUCAACGCCGGGAAGCUCACCGGAUAAGACAGCGGAAUGAUUGCCGGGCUGAAGACUCUGCAUGACUAGCUG